UGGGGAAUAUUGCACAAUGGGCGCAAGCCUGAUGCAGCCAUGCCGCGUGUAUGAAGAAGGCCUUCGGGUUGUAAAGUACUUUCAGCGGGGAGGAAGGGAGUAAAGUUAAUACCUUUGCUCAUUGACGUUACCCGCAGAAGAAGCCCCGGCUAACUCCGUGCCAGCAGCCGCGGUAAUACGGAGGGUGCAAGCGUUAAUCGGAAUUACUGGGCGUAAAGCGCACGCAGGCGGUUUGUUAAGUCAGAUGUGAAAUCCCCGGGCUCAACCUGGGAACUGCAUCUGAUACUGGCAAGCUUGAGUCUCGUAGAGGGGGGUAGAAUUCCAGGUGUAGCGGUGAAAUGCGUAGAGAUCGGGAGGAAUACCGGUGGCGAAGGCGGCCCCAUGGACGAAGACUGACGCUCAGGUGCGAAAGCGUGGGGAGCAAACAGG
rnacentral:rRNA from 1 species